GCCGGAGUAGCUCAGCUGGUAGAGCAAACGCCUUGUAAGCGUUAGGUCGAGGGUUCGAGUCCCUCCUCCGGCU
rnacentral:tRNA from 1 species